AUGAGAGUGAGCUUCCUGUGGCUCUCUUUUCCUGCGCUCCCUCUGUCUCUUGCACUGACUUCCGCCUUUCCACCGUGGAAUGACAGUCACCAGAUGCCGGUGCCAUGCUCUUGGACUUCCCAACUUCCAGAGCAGCAAGCCAAAUCAACUUCUUUCCUUUUUUUUUUUUUUUUUUUUAUUGUGAGAGAAUAUGUGCCUGAUGUUUUAAGCCACCAAGUAUGCAGUAAUUUGUUAUAGCAGCCACAAGAAAUGAAUGCACCAAAAUACCACUAGAAAGACAAGCCAUUCCUUGAUGGAAAAUAUAAAAUGAGAAAUGGGAUAUCUUUCCACAUGAGAAGAAUCAGCUUUCCUUAAAUGGAAACUGAGGAUGACUCCCUCUUCUGGCUGCAAUGGAGCAACUGCUAACAGACUUCCACCCAGCUGCUUGGGAGCUACUGUAAACAACCAGAAAACGAGAACACGUGAAACAAGUUUCAGACGUUGAAUGACCGCAGCCAGGACCAUGGGCCUUCAGAGAAAGGAAACAAACAAGCUCCUGGUGGUUGCCAGCAAUCUUUGGCCUCCCUUUGACAUUCAUCGGUUUGUAGAUGUUUUGCUCCAAUUCCUGCUGGCAUCACAUGGCAUUCUUCUGGUCUUGUCUUAUUGCAUUGCUAAGACAUCCAGCAUGGUGUUGCAGAGAAGUGACAGAGGACUUGUUCCCUUCUUAAGGAGAGAUGUAUUUAGACUCAUCAUGAGAAUAAUGUGAGCUGAAGCUUUUCAGAGAUUUCCUUUUUUAUAUAAUCUAUUUCAAUUAUCCCAUUAGGCUUAGUGUUUGGGUAGAAUCGUCUACAUUUACAGAUGAGAAUACUGAGGUUCAAAGAUGUUAUCUAAAUUGCCCACAGUCAUACAGCUAGCAAGAGGCAAUCAAGACCAUGAUUCCAGUGCUGUUUCAACUGUAUCAAUGAUUCCAUUUGUCAAGUGUCUGGUGCUUUAUUCCUUAUAAAUCAUUCACUUAGGAAAUAAUUAUUGAGCUCAUACCAUGUGCUAUACUUUAAAGGUGCAAAGCACUGAACAAAAGUUAUUUAUUUGUAUUAAUAAGUUUUAAAAUUGAGAUGAUACCCAUGAAAUGUUUUAAGAAAGAUUUGCAAGAG
rnacentral:lncRNA from 13 species